UACGUAGGAGGCAAGCGUUAUCCGGAUUUACUGGGUGUAAAGGGAGCGUAGGCGGCGGAGCAAGUCAGAAGUGAAAGCCCGGGGCUCAACCCCGGGACGGCUUUUGAAACUGCCCUGCUUGAUUUCAGGAGAGGUAAGCGGAAUUCCUAGUGUAGCGGUGAAAUGCGUAGAUAUUAGGAGGAACACCAGUGGCGAAGGCGGCUUACUGGACUGACAAUGACGCUGAGGCUCGAAAGCGUGGGGAGCAAACAGG
rnacentral:rRNA from 1 species